UGGAUCCCUAGCUAGGAAGAAGAAGUCAUGGCGCGGACGAUGCAGCUGAUAUUUUUAGGUCAGGUGGUUUCUCUCGAUUUGAUCACCAAUGAAGGUGUGGAUGCGCCAAUGAGUGUCUCAUUCUGUUCAUAUUUGGCUCUAGCUGCAAUAUAUGGUAGCGUAUUGGUGUGGCGCGGACAGAAUUUGAAUAUUAUGCUUUGGUAUUUGAAUUGAAUCGAAUUGAAUCGAAUUGAAUCGAAUCGAAUUGAAUCGACUCGGAUUCGGUUGAGUUAGGACACAGGUAUCGUGGUAUUGGUAUGUUGGUCUUGCGUUUGUUGAUGUGCAGGGAAAUUAUCUAGUUACUAAAGCUUAUCAGUAUACAUCAAUCACAAGCGUGACUUUCCUGGAUUGCUGCACCAUCGCUUGGGCGAUUCUUCUGACUUGGCUGUUCUUGGGCACACGCUAUGUCAUCUCGCAGUUCUUGGGAGUAAGAGCAUCCACAACCGUGCUCUUGCCAGCGGCACGGUUGUGGGCCCGGGCGGUACUAUUCAUGCCUGCUCUCUGGCAAGAGCACAACACCCACAACUGUGCUCUUUCGCAAGGACGAGCA